GACUGCCCGGCCCCUUCCCGUGCCGAGUCGAGUCGGACUCCUCAGGCCUCCUCCCUCCCUCAUUGUCUCCCCUAACACCGUCACCUUCCCCCUUCUGCCGUCUCAGGAAGGGAAUGCAGACCGUGGGAGAUGCGAAGGGGUGGCGUAGGCCGGGCUGAAGAGCAAGUGUGGAAAUCGGAGUGGAACCCUUGGACGUGGGGAGAAUGCAGGACAGCUGGAGUGAAAGCUGGCAAGAAUCUCCAUGGGAGGACGCAGGUCUGUGUGUAGCUUUGUGGAGUCGUGGCUUUCUACUCCUGACACCAGCUGGGAGUCAACGGGCUCGGAAGCAAGGAGCAGGUCAUGACCUUGUGAGAUGGAGCCCCCCC